GAUGAACGCUAGCGGCAGGCUUAAUACAUGCAAGUCGAGGGACAGCACAGGUAGCAAUACUGGGUGGUAACCGGCAAACGGGUGCGGAACACGUACACAACCUUCCUUUAAGUGGGGGAUAGCCCAGAGAAAUUUGGAUUAAUACCCCGUAAUAUAGUUGAAUGGCAUCAUUUGAUUAUUAUAGCUACGGCGCUUAAUGAUGGGUGUGCGGCUGAUUAGAUAGUUGGCGGGGUAACGGCCCACCAAGUCUACGAUCAGUAGCUGAUGUGAGAGCAUGAUCAGCCAAACGGGCACUGAGACACGGGCCCGACUCCUACGGGAGGCAGCAGUAAGGAAUAUUGGUCAAUGGACGCAAGUCUGAACCAGCCAUGCCGCGUGAAGGAUUAAGGUCCUCUGGAUUGUAAACUUCUUUUAUUUGGGACGAAAAAGGGCCUUUCUAGGUCAACUGACGGUACCAGAUGAAUAAGCACCGGCUAACUCCGUGCCAGCCGCCGCUGUAA
rnacentral:rRNA from 1 species